rnacentral:rRNA from 1 species
CCUACGGGCGGCAGCAGUAGGGAAUUUUCGUCAAUGGGCGCAAGCCUGAACGAGCAAUGCCGCGUGAACGAGGAAGGUCUUCGGAUCGUAAAGUUCUGUUGAAGGGGAAAAAGAGCGGAGAGAGGAAAUGCUUUCUGAUUGAUAUUACCCUUCGAGGAAGUCACGGCUAACUACGUGCCAGCAGCCGCGGUAAUACGUAGGUGGCGAGCGUUAUCCGGAAUGAUUGGGCGUAAAGGGUGCGUAGGCGGCCUGCUAAGUCUGGAGUGAAAGGUACCGGCUCAACCGGUACAGGCUCUGGAAACUGGCGGGCUAGAUAUCAGGAGGAAUACCGUUAGCGAAGGCGGCAAUCUGGCUGGAAACUGACGCUGAGGUGCGAAAGCGUGGGUAGCAAACAGGAUUAGAUACCCCUGUAGUC